GGGGAUAUAGCUCAGGUAGAGCUCUGCUCUUGCAAUGGCGGAUGUCAGCGGUUCGAGUCCGCUUAUCUCCA
rnacentral:tRNA from 1 species